rnacentral:sRNA from 1 species
UAAAAAAAAAAAAGCGAUAUUUUGAAAACGACCUUCAAUAAAUCAAAUGUAUGUCUAGAUGGCUCGUAAUUUAUUUUGGCCGUGAUUUAGCACUUAGUCUAGAUUAAUUCACACACCACACAAUGGAUUUAAGAUUUCCUAAGCCUACUGAAAUAAGCAGGCUAGAACUGACUGUACAUAAUGUUUCUGAUAUCUUCUCUGACGAUGAGGACAUAACAAUCUUAUCUGAUGAUGAGGAUAUGUGGGCUUACGCCACCGG